GGAUUUUGAUGAAUUUGCAACCACAAUUAUUCGAACGUCGGUGGAAGCUGUGUAAAUUUGCGGAGUACAAAGUGCUAUUUAUCCCCACUAUUAUUUCAACGCAAUAAGCAAAUUUCUUACUAAAGAAAGUGUGUAUUUAGUUGAGUAAAGUGAAAAACGCCAUAAUUAUAGUGGUAUGUGACAAGUGAGAAAUAAAUUGAAAGCAGGUCUAAUUAUAAAUAGUAAAAAGUGUGUUGCAAGAGACGAAAAAUUUGCCAAGCACAGUGUAGCACAAAAAAAAUUGCCGAUAUAGUGAAAGCUAACUAGCACAUAUUUCGGUUGUUGGAUGCUAGAAUUUGUCCAUUCGCUUCCAUUAUCAGCAAAGAAUUACAGUUCGAGGAAGUCAACUAUUUCGGAUUUUCCACAGCCUUGCUAUCGGGUAUGUCGGUCACCGCAGCCGAAUGGGUUGGUGCGUGAACUUCUCUUCUUCUUAAUUGGCGCGAUAACCGCUUAUGCGAUUUUGGCGGAGUUUAACAAAGCGCGCCAGUCGUUUCUUUCUCGUGCUAACCGGCGCCAAUUGGACACACCAAGUGAAGCCAAGUCCUUCUCCACCUGAUCUUUCCAACGCAGAGGAGGCCUUCUUCUUCCUUUACUACCACCAGCUGGUACCGCAUCGAAUACUUCCAGAACCGGUGCAUUCGUUCGACAUGACCCAGCCAGCCUAGCCGCUUGAUCUUUAUUCGCUGCGCUAUGUCUAUGUGGUCGUAAAGCUCAUACAGCUCAUCGUUCCAUCGUCUACGAGCCGUUGCCAAAGUGCAAAGGUCCAAAAAUCUUACGCAGAAUCUUUCUCUCGAACACUCCAAGCGUCGCUUCAUCGGAUGUUGUCAUCGUCCACGCUUCUGCGCCAUACGUUAGGGCG